rnacentral:rRNA from 1 species
GACGAACCGUCCAAACGUUAUUCGGAAUCACUGGGCUUAAAGGGCGCGUAGGCGGCCGAGCGGGUCACGGGUGAAAUCCCCCAGCUUAACUGGGGAACUGCCCUUGAUACCACUGCGGCUCGAGGAAGGAAGGGGCAAUCGGAACUGUCGGUGGAGCGGUGAAAUGCGUUGAUAUCGACAGGAACGCCGGUGGCGAAAGCGGAUUGCUGGUCCUUUUCUGACGCUGAGGCGCGAAAGCCAGGGGAGCAAA